rnacentral:rRNA from 1 species
CCAGACUCCUACGGGAGGCAGCAGUGGGGAAUAUUGCACAAUGGGGGAAACCCUGAUGCAGCAACGCCGCGUGAGUGAAGAAGUAUUUCGGUAUGUAAAGCUCUAUCAGCAGGGAAGAAAAUGACAGUACCUGACUAAGAAGCCCCGGCUAACUACGUGCCAGCAGCCGCGGUAAUACGUAGGGGGCAAGCGUUAUCCGGAUUUACUGGGUGUAAAGGGAGCGUAGACGGCUGCGCAAGUCAGAAGUGAAAGCCCGGGGCUCAACCGCGGGACUGCUUUUGAAACUGUGUAGCUAGAGUGCAGGAGAGGUAAGUGGAAUUCCUAGUGUAGCGGUGAAAUGCGUAGAUAUCAGGAGGAACACCGGUGGCGAAGGCGGCCUGCUGGACUGCGACUGACGUUGAGGCCCGAAAGCGUGGGGAGCAAACAGGAUUAGAUACCCGAGUACU